AUUUUUAAAUAGAUUUUUGGAUUUUUAGUUAAUUUUGGCAAUUGGAUGCAAUUCAAGAAACGCAUUGGAAAUUAUGUCUGAUUAUAUAGUGCAAACCGAUUAUAAAGUACCUAGAGCAGACUACAACAAAAAGAACGUUAAAAGGCUUUUGCUAACACCACUAUGCAGCAAGCUUAUUUUGAUAGUUUUAUUGUCGUCAGCUGUGUUUCAUCAGAACUAGCAUAGAAAAUAUAUUACAGAUGAAAUCUAUUGCA